ACCCAACUCUAAAAAAGGGCCUGUUAUAUCCAUGGGGAAAAAGGCAGAAAAAAAUCAGCAGGAAAAAAAAUAUAAAAACAAUGCUUAAUAUCGAGAGAAAAAGAUGAUGUUAGUUUUCAAAUAUCAAGAAAAAAUUAAUUCUUAUUUUGUUAUAUAAGGAACAUUCAAAUCCUCAGUCUCUAAAUGAUAGAUUUUUCAUUGCAAAAACAAAACUACAAACGGAUCGUAAGCGUAAAAUCACUAAGGACAUAUGAUUAAGAUGAUAAAAAAAUCAAACAAAAAAGAUCCAAAAAUAACACAAAAUGGAAAACAACAAGAUAUCUUGUAGAUCGAGAACAGAUAAAUCUAUAUCUCUUCUCUAUCGAUAGUACAAGAAUGCAAUGGCCAAGAGAAUGAGGAGAAGAUGUAUGGAGGAAGAGGAGGAGAAGGAUCAUCGAAGAGUCAGAGACACCAA
rnacentral:lncRNA from 1 species